rnacentral:rRNA from 1 species
UACGUAGGGACCAAGCGUUGUUCGGAAUUACUGGGCGUAAAGCGUGCGCAGGCGGUUUUGUAAGCCAGAUGUGAAAUCCCCGGGCUUAACCUGGGAAUGGCAUUUGGGACUGCAAGGCUUGAGUGCGGCAGAGGAGACUGGAAUUCCUGGUGUAGCAGUGAAAUGCGUAGAUAUCAGGAGGAAUACCGAUGGCGAAGGCAGGUCUCUGGGCUGACACUGACGCUCAUGCACGAAAGCGUGGGGAGCAAACAGG